CAGAGGACCCAAAGUGGGUUCUGUGCUGACAGGCUGACAGCAGCAGGUCCAAUGUGGGGCUCUAACUCACGAACCACAAGAUCAUAGCUUGAGCCAAAGUCGGACGCUCAACCAAUUUAGCCAGGUGCCCCUACAAUUACCCUAUAUGUUUAAUAGUAAAACUAACUUGCAUUAAACAUUGCCUGAUUAUUUAUAUGUCUGUUGCAGGAAUAAUGCUUGGCCAUAUAAGGUCUCUCUUCUUUUUAAAAAGUAAUCUCUACAUCCAACAUGGGGCUCAAAUUCAUGACCCAGGGAUCAAGAAUCAUAUGCUCCGUGGACUGAGCCAGGAGGCGUCUUGUAUCUAAGCCUUUACUUCAUGCACACUGACAGAAACCAACAGUAGCCCAGGAAAUGGAACCGUGGACACCACCAGUAGCCAAAGAACUGGGGAUGGGAAAGGAUUGAACCAGCAGACAUCAGAGAAUGGAGACUGUUGGGCUGAUCCAAGUGAAUGGAGGACUAUAGCUGCUAUCUGCAGCUCCCAGUGUGGAAUCUGAGGACAGAGCCUCGGUCUGUGGUUUAGAAGUUCCUGCAGAUUGGCCAGUAGAAGGCCUGUGUAUGCCACCAGCAAUUUCCAGAAUAUACUAAGCCAGCAGACUCCAGUAAACAGGGACUGUGGACUGGAAUGGGGGAAAGGGAUUCCACACAAGUGGGGAACUACAGACUGAACCAAGGGCUAACGACUGGUGCUCUGUUAGAUUCUCCUGUUAAUCUAGACUGGCCUGUUAACCCUGGCCUGGAAGGUCCGUUAGAUUGGGAGCUCAACACAAAAAGAGUAGUGCUCAAACCAAGAGGAGCUUACCAAGGGCCCUAGGAAAUGGUGAGAAACACAGUGAACUCAAAAGGGUUCGCUUUGGAUCCCACUCUUGCCACCAAAUCUGUUAAAAAACAAAAUGUAACCAAGUAAAUUGGCAUUAUUAAAUAAUUCAUUAAUAUGGCAACAACUCAUCUAGCAGGUAGAGGGGAGCUCCCAGGAGCUGUGCAAAAUGGAAGAUUUUUUUUUUAAUUAAAAAAAUUUUUGUUUAUGUUUAUUUAUUUUUGAGUGAGAGAGAGACAGAGGAUAAGUAGGGAAGGGGCAGACAAAGAGGGAGACACAGAAUCCCAAGCAGCCUCCAGGCUCUGAGCUGUCAGCACAGAGCCUGACGCAGGGCUUAAACUCACAAACAGCGAGAUCAUGACCUGAGCCAAAGUCGGACGCUUAACCCACUGAGCCACCCAAGCGCCCCCCAUUUUUUUUUUAAUUAAAUUAAAUUAAAUUAAAUUUUUUUUGGUUUUUUUUCAAAAUGAAAGGUUUUUAAAGAUUGGGGCGGGGAGAGGGGGAAACAGGAAUUUGUUAGCAAAAAAUGCAUUGUUUUAGACAAGGUUGCCCUCCUAAAGGGGAUGGGAGGGGUCUAUUAAGGGAUUACCUCCUAGUAUUGAUCAGGAAAUUCCAGUUGGACUGGUUAAAGGGUAUAUUCCUGGGGCAUUGAAACUGUUGUUGGGUUAGGUGUUAAGUCUUGGUUGACUGAAACAAGGCCUUAACAUUAGUGACACCAUUUGGGGCCUAUGGUCUUCUUUAACAGAGUCCUGUGGCAUUUCAUGGAAUCACUCUUCAUUCAGUCUUGAAGUGCGAUGUUGAGGUCCCAAAAAGACCUGUAUGCCCAUGAGGCAUUGCCAGGGUACCAACAGAAUGCAGGAAGAAACCAUAGCCAUCAAAGAGGGCUAUGCCUCUGGCCCUAAAAUCUAAAAUCCCCUGCAAGCCGGCUUCCUUGCAGUCUGCUCUUUCCACCUUCCGGCAGAUUGCAGGCCAUCGAGAGCAGCAGGAGGGUGAAUCAGACCCACCCAUCAUCCUUUGCAAAUGCCUCUGAAUGAUAUAACUGCACAGUGUUUAUUUUACGAGGUCGUUCCCAAGUGUAACUUUGUUCUGGCCAAAGGUGCGCAUUUAUGCCAGCCUGACCCUGAUAGAGAAAUAUCAGCCCUGGAUUGUAAAGUAAGUAAAUAAAACAAACACAGAAACAAGCUCGUAAAAUGUUAAGUCAGGUCUUGUCACUCUCCGGCUCAGAACCGCCCACCUCCACCCUGUGGACUCCCCAUAGCGCUAAGCAUAAAACCCAAAGUCCUCGCCAUGGGAAGGCCCCACAGGAAACUCUUGAUCUCAUGACUUCCACACACCCCCUCCCUCCCCGCCAGCCUCAACACGCCCACCCCUGGCUGAGGCCCUGCCUCAGGGUCAUUGUGCUUGCUCUUCUCUGCAAAGAUCACACAAUGUCGCCUUACCCACUUCUCUGAUCAGCUCGUCUAAACUAGCUGCCUCCCUGCUGCUAGCGUCGCUCCGCGUUUCCUUACCCUGCUUCGUUUCAUUCACAGUAUUCAUGUAUAUUCUCUUCUCCCCAUUAGGAGACAUGCUCCAGAAGGCCAGAGACUACCCUGUCCUGUGUCCCCGGCAUCUGGAAUAGGGGCCAGGGCACAGUAGAUUUACUUUCUGGAUUCAUGGGUCCCAUGACCAGUCCUGUGUCCCUCCUGCUUCUGCCCUUUCUCCAAACCUGGGGCUCCCGUCUGCCUAGAUUGCCUGGUCUGACCUGCUAGGCACCCACUAAGUACUCGCUGUUAAUGAUGGUAAUGACCUCAGUCUGGCCAAGAGGAUCCUUGAUGUGAAAGAAGGAAAAGGGCUUUGGGGGUCGAGAAAACUUGGAUUCUAACGCUAGCCAGCUCUGCUUGCUGCCUGGGCCUCAGUUUAUUCAUCUUGAAGGCGGAUGGGGUGGGGGUAAAAUGCCUGCCUGGUAGUCUGUUGUAAGGAUCAAAGAUCCAAUGACUGUGAGGGCCCAGCAGCUCACCAACCAGCUGCUCUGGGAAUAGGCUUCUCCUGCCUGCCGGUGGCAAACGAUGACUGUUUCCAUGGUGGAAAGGAAGGUGUGAGCCUCCCGAAAAGGAUCUUACCCAAGGGGUUUCCUCCAAGACAGGACAACUACAGCAGAGCAGGGAAUGGGGGGUGCAGAAACCGAGGGGGGUGGUCAGGAGAGAUCCACUAGGGAGUACCACCCUCUGCCUGGGAAUGCUGGGGGAGGUCCCUGGGGGGGGCCUUCCCUUGGGAGCCCGCGAAGGGCCCCAUGGGAACAGAAUCAGCAUUUGGGUACCUCCCAUGCCCAGAGGCACCAAUGCCUGAUUACAACCACACCAGCGAUGGCAUUUUCAACCUCUGUCUCUUCCUCUGAGCUAUCAGGGAGGAGAAGCUUGAGACUGAA